rnacentral:tRNA from 1 species
GGCAUAGCUCAACUGGUAGAGCAGCUGAUUUGUAAUCAGCAGGUUGGGGGUUCAAGUCCCUCUGCC